AAUAAAAGCGUUCAUUAAAUUAAAAGUGAGACCUUGGAAGUUAUGUUUCAAGGUGGGUGGCGGCAUUUACGCUGUGGAUGUCUAUGAGCUCCAGAAACCACUUAACACCAGGUGGGCCGUGAAAUCGUUCACCCAACAAAGCAAUAAAAAAAAAACACUAUCUACAUGUUAACAUUGAUCUUAUCUUUUUUUUUUUUUUUUUUUUUUUUUUUUUUUUUUUUUUUUUUUUUUUUUUUUUUUUUUUUUUUUUUUUUUUUUUUUUUUUUUUUUUGUUAAAAAAUAAAAUAUAUUGUAUAAUAAUAUAAUUAAAAAAAAACAAGUUUCGAAAAAGGAACCUUCAGUGUUGCAUUAUUUGUACAUUACGUACGUACAGCACAAUAAUGUACAUUAUUUUGUUAAAUUGGUAAAAAAUUAAAUUUUAGUUGCUGUUCACAUAUUAUUUAAUUUUAUUAAAAAAAUU